UGUGUUUGUUCUCUCCUUUACAGGGGAAAAGGAAGAGAGUGAUGUGCCAGAAGUUUAUUAUUUUGCUAUUUUUCAUUUUUAAUAUCACCAACAAUUGUAGGAAAUAAUUCUGAGAAAAAUUACAUAAGAGAUGAGUUGUGAAGGCAAGAGAAGAACAGGAAAUAAAGUGGAAAAAUCGGGGCAUGGACUAAAGGAUUUCUGUGAGAUACCACGAGAGGACAUCUGUUUCAUCUCUGACCUGCAGCUUUGCUGGUGAGAGUGCUUUUUUGAAAUUUUCCCCACAAGGAAAAUCAGAACUAUAUGGGAAUAUGAAGUUCACAGCGUUGAAUAAGAAAAAGUCUGCAAGAGGACAACGGACCUUGGUGUGCCUUUUCAGAUCCAUUUAGACUCUCUUGUAAAUACAAUAGAUCUGUGAGCUUCUGACCACUGAAUAACAUUUCACUUGAGUGGUUUUUAGUUUUCCUGAAUUUUCAGGAAGAGGAUGGAGGUGUAUAUAUAUGAAGGAUGAGAGUUUAUUCACACACACUCUUGCAUAAAUACACAAAUAGGUUAAGAAAGCCAAUAUUGUCAGUACUUUGCUGCUUUCAGAUACAAUACUGAAAUCUUCACAUAACAAUCAUGUGAGUGAAAAACUAAACAGUUUAAAAUCAUACUGUAAUUUAGUUUUCAAUUAUACAUCCAUAAGUAAUUUUACUUGCACGUAGUCCACUGAAAGCUGGCUUAUGAAGUUAUUUCAAUUAUCUGUCUUCUUAAGUAACUGGAGAAUGAAGUAAUAUAUUUCAACAGUUGUAAACACUGCAGUUUUGCUUGUUGAAGGGUUUUGUUCUAUUAGAUUUUCCCCUCAUGAAUUUAAUUUUAAUUAUGCCAGAAAACAUAGUCAAGCUGCUUCUAGUACUUUGACUUGGCUGUGCUGAGGUGGAAAUUGCCAUAAAGACACAAACUUUGUUUUAUUCUUUUGAGGGAACAAGGCAGAGGGAGACUAUUAAACAUCACUGCAAACUUGAGAUGAAAUCAAUUAAAUUAUAUGAUCAGGAUGUA
rnacentral:lncRNA from 1 species